CCUACGGGAGGCAGCAGUGAGGAAUAUUGGUCAAUGGACGAGAGUCUGAACCAGCCAAGUAGCGUGAAGGAUGACUGCCCUAUGGGUUGUAAACUUCUUUUAUAUGGGAAUAAAACGUUCCACGUGUGGGAUUUUGUAUGUACCAUAUGAAUAAGGAUCGGCUAACACCGUGCCAGCAGCCGCGGUAAUACGGAGGAUCCGAGCGUUAUCCGGAUUUAUUGGGUUUAAAGGGAGCGUAGGUGGAUUGUUAAGUCAGUUGUGAAAGUUUGCGGCUCAACCGUAAAAUUGCAGUUGAAACUGGCAGUCUUGAGUACAGUAGAGGUGGGCGGAAUUCGUGGUGUAGCGGUGAAAUGCUUAGAUAUCACGAAGAACUCCGAUUGCGAAGGCAGUUCACUGGACUGCAACUGACACUGAGGCUCGAAAGUGUGGGUAUCAAACAGGAUUAGAUACCCCAGUAGUC
rnacentral:rRNA from 1 species